CAGUAGCCGCGGUAAUACGGAGGGAGCUAGCGUUGUUCGGAAUCACUGGGCGUAAAGCGCACGUAGGCGGCUACUCAAGUCAGGGGUGAAAGCCCGGGGCUCAACCCCGGAACUGCCUUUGAAACUAGAUAGCUUGAAUCUUGGAGAGGCGAGUGGAAUUCCGAGUGUAGAGGUGAAAUUCGUAGAUAUUCGGAAGAACACCAGUGGCGAAGGCGACUCGCUGGACAAGUAUUGACGCUGAGGUGCGAAAGCGUGGGGAGCAAACAGGAUUAGAUACCCCCGUAGUCCCUGUCUCUUAUAC
rnacentral:rRNA from 1 species